rnacentral:ncRNA from 2 species
UAAUUAUCAAGAGUAGGCACGAGGGAACUAGCCCGUUAUUAGUGUCUCAGCAACCUGUCCGCCGUGGCGGAUAAGGUGCUACUUCUAGCUCCGCCUUGGGUGGAGAGAGAUAAUAU